rnacentral:antisense_RNA from 1 species
UGAUCAGCGAGACGUGCAGCCGCACCGGGACGUUCCUGUCUUUGAAGGCGGUGGUGAUGAAGCAGCCGAAG